rnacentral:rRNA from 1 species
GACUAAGGUCCCAAAAUCUUAUUUAAGUGGAAAACGAUGUGGAGUUACUUAAACAACCAGGAGGUUGGCUUAGAAGCAGCCAUCCUUUAAAGAAAGCGUAAUAGCUCACUGGUCUAGUGAUUAUGCGCGGAAAAUAUAACGGGGCUAAAAUAAGUACCGAAGUCGUAGAUUUGAAUUUUAUUCAAGUGGUAGGAGAGCGUCCUAUUCAGCGUUGAAGGUGUACCGGUAAGGAGCGCUGGAGCGGAUAGGAGUGAGCAUGCAGGCAUGAGUAGCGUUAAAAUACGUGAGAAUCGUAUUCGCCGAAAACCCAAGGUUUCCUACGCGAUGCUCGUCAUCGUAGGGUUAGUCGGGUCCUAAGCAAAGUCCGAAAGGGGUAUGCGAUGGAAAAUCGGUUAAUAUUCCGAUACCAAUAUUAGUGUGCGAUGGAAGGACGCUUAAAGUUAGUGGAGCUAGCGGAUGGAAGUGCUAGUCUAAGGAAGUAGGUUGAGUUAUAGGCAAAUCCGUAACUCUUUAUUCGAGACAUUAAAGGUCUUUGACGCUCUUCGGAGUAGAUGAGAAAUCCAUGAUACUAUCGAGCCAAGAAAAGUUUCUAAGUUUAGCUAAUAUUGCCCGUACCGUAAACCGACACAGGUGGGUGGGAUGAGUAUUCUAAGGCGCGUGGAAGAACUCUCUUUAAGGAACUCUGCAAAAUAGCACCGUAUCUUCGGUAUAAGGUGUGCCUAACUUUGUGAAGGAUUUACUCCGUAAGCAUUGAAGGUUACAACAAAGAGUCCCUCCCGACUGUUUACCAUAAACACAGCACUCUGCUAACUCGUAAGAGGAUGUAUAGGGUGUGACGCCUGCCCGGUGCUCGAAGGUUAAUUGAUGACGUUAGCUCUGCGAAGCGUUUGAUCGAAGCCCGAGUAAACGGCGGCCGUAACUAUAACGGUCCUAAGGUAGCGAAAUUCCUUGUCGGUUAAAUACCGACCUGCAUGAAUGGCGUAACGAGAUGGGAGCUGUCUCAAAGAGGGAUCCAGUGAAAUUGUAGUGGAGGUGAAAAUUCCUCCUACCCGCGGCAAGACGGAAAGACCCCGUGGACCUUUACUAUAGCUUGAUACUGCUAUUGGGAUAAAAAUGUGCAGGAUAGGUGGGAGGCUUUGAUCCAUAGACGCUAGUUUAUGGUGAGCCAUCGUUGAGAUACCACUCUUUUUUAUUUUGAUAGCUAACUAGCCUAAGUUAUCCUUAGGUAGGACAAUGUCUGGUGGGUAGUUUGACUGGGGCGGUCGCCUCCCAAAAUGUAACGGAGGCUUACAAAGGUUGGUUCAAGAUGGUUGGAAAUCAUCUGCAGAGUAUAAAGGCAUAAACCAGCUUAACUGCAAGACAUACAAGUCGAGCAGAGACGAA